rnacentral:rRNA from 1 species
GAUGAACGCUGGCGGCGUGCCUAAUACAUGCAAGUCGAGCGAACAGACGAGGAGCUUGCUCCUCUGACGUUAGCGGCGGACGGGUGAGUAACACGUGGAUAACCUACCUAUAAGACUGGGAUAACUUCGGGAAACCGGAGCUAAUACCGGAUAAUAUAUUGAACCGCAUGGUUCAAUAGUGAAAGACGGUUUUGCUGUCACUUAUAGAUGGAUCCGCGCCGCAUUAGCUAGUUGGUAAGGUAACGGCUUACCAAGGCAACGAUGCGUAGCCGACCUGAGAGGGUGAUCGGCCACACUGGAACUGAGACACGGUCCAGACUCCUACGGGAGGCAGCAGUAGGGAAUCUUCCGCAAUGGGCGAAAGCCUGACGGAGCAACGCCGCGUGAGUGAUGAAGGUCUUCGGAUCGUAAAACUCUGUUAUUAGUGAAGAACAAAUGUGUAAGUAACUUUGCACGUCUUGACGGUACCUAAUCAGAAAGCCACGGCUAACUACGUG